rnacentral:rRNA from 1 species
AAUAUGACUCUCGGCAAUGGAUAUCUCAGCUCUCGCAUCGACGAAGAACCUAGCGAAAUGCGAUAUGUGGUGUGAAUUGCAAAAUCUUGUGAACCAUCGAGUCUUUGAACGCAAGUUGCGCCCGAGGGACCCUCCCAAGGGCAGGCCUGCCUCAUGGGCGUUAGAA